CAGAAGCCGAGAUGGACGGACGCAAGGUGGGCUCUACUCUUUUCGUCACCUAGAAGGAAAGGGAGGCCCCCGGCCCUCCCCAGCACCCCGGAAUCGGACUGCCCUGCCUGAUCGUGCUGCUGUCGGCCCUCCCCCUGUCCGCCCUGGCCUCGUCCUGCUGCGUCUUCUUCAUCCUCCUCCGCGGGAGAGGGGGAGAACGGAAGUGCGCCGUACGAGAACUUGCACCCCGCCUCUGAGCCCCGACGACCCGGGGGCAGGGGUUUCUGAA